GAAUAAAAUGAUAAAUAUGCGCGUUGGACUACUAAUUCAAAGGUCGUGGGUUCGAAUCCCACCUGGGAUG